rnacentral:ncRNA from 1 species
CACUGCUUGUCACACUAUGGGAGUUGGCCAUGCCCCAAGUCAUUACCUUAACAACCAAGAGGGGGAUGUCUAAGACUGGGCUAGUGACUGGAGUGAAGUCACAAGAAGGUAGCCAUACUAGAAGGUGCAACGA